GUGGGGAAUUUUGGACAAUGGGCGCAAGCCUGAUCCAGCAAUGCCGCGUGCAGGAAGAAGGCCUUCGGGUUGUAAACUGCUUUUGUACGGAACGAAACGGUCCUGGCUAAUAUCCGGGGCUAAUGACGGUACCGUAAGAAUAAGCACCGGCUAACUACGUGCCAGCAGCCGCGGUAAUACGUAGGGUGCGAGCGUUAAUCGGAAUUACUGGGCGUAAAGCGUGCGCAGGCGGUGCUGUAAGACAGGCGUGAAAUCCCCGGGCUCAACCUGGGAAUUGCGCUUGUGACUGCAGGGCUGGAGUGCGGCAGAGGGGGAUGGAAUUCCGCGUGUAGCAGUGAAAUGCGUAGAUAUGCGGAGGAACACCGAUGGCGAAGGCAAUCCCCUGGGCCUGCACUGACGCUCAUGCACGAAAGCGUGGGGAGCAAACAGGAUUAGAUACCCUUGUAGUCC
rnacentral:rRNA from 1 species